CCUGAUCAUCGUUUGAGCCAAAUGAGCGCGAUCCAUGCCCAGUGUUAUGGGAGAUUUCUAGGUUUUUCCGGGGAUCUAGGGAACCCGGCGGCCGUUCUCCCGGGAAUCCUCACGGAUUGUCCAUCCAAGCUGCUGCUUUCUAGGUUUGUUGUGUUUCGGGAGGUCGAGAAGGCCGAAUCUCAAGGAGACGGCCAAAGAUUCCCCUGUCUAACUGUGCAAGCUUGUUUUUUUUCUCUCGUCUUUACUGAGUUUGCUGGUGCAGGUUUGUUGUUGAGUUUCGUCUCUUAGCUCCGCUGUGAACGCUUUUUCCAGUGAUGAAGACCAGAUCAUCUCCAGGAAUUCUCUCAGGGGGUAUCGAUCGAGUGAAGACUACAUAUCCAUAUGUAGCAGUUAAAAAAGCAGACAGAGAGCAUGGAGGAUAUCCAAUGGACAGGUUUUGCUAUGAAAGAAAUGGACGAAAGGCCUAUUUUCCUCGGCCUGCAUAGGUAAUUUUUCCCCCUUACCUAAAGAGUGUGCGUUUGGAAGAGGCACAAUAGGCAUAUCAACAAAAGAAACCAAAUAUGUAGUUUCUACUAAAUGGUGCUAAAGCAAAAUUCAGUAAAACAAUUAAAGGAAUUCUACUUUGGAUAACAUCUCAAUUGGAUUCAACCAUUUACUUUUUUUUUAUUGCCUUCCGGAUGAGUUUGACAACGGGUUGGCAAUAGACUAGUUUAUCACAAAGUAUUCUUUCUUGCGUUUACAUGUAAAAUAAUAUUUUCUUG